GAUGCGCGAAGUGAGGGCCGCCCUCGGCUUCUUUGAAGAUGUCGAUGGAGGAAAGUCCGAGCUCCAUAGGGUAAGGUGCCGGGUAACGCCCGGGGACUGGCUCCGGCUGGUUACGGAAAGUGCCACAGAGAGUAGACCGCCGAUGGCUCUAUUAAAGAGAACAGGCAAGGGUGAAAGGGUGCGGUAAGAGCGCACCGAGCUUCCGGAAACGGAGGUUGCAAGGUAAACCCCACCUGGAGCAAGGCCAAAUAGGGGACGAUGAGAUGCCCGUUUCAUUUGAGUCCCGGGUAGGCUGCUUGAGGCUGCCAGUAAUGGCAGCCCUAGAUAAAUGGCCCUCCUGCUACCUUGGUAGCAGACAGAACUCGGCUUAUUAACGCGUGUCUGAC
rnacentral:RNase_P_RNA from 1 species